ACCCACUCAGGAUCGCUCUGGGAGAGUUUCCAGUAUUCUACCAGUAUCAGCUAAGGGAGGGAGAGUCAAGCAGAGGCUACCCAUUCCAUUCCUAGCUUGGGCAGUGGCUAGCAAGUGGAAGGCAACCUGCUACAAGU
rnacentral:snoRNA from 1 species